CCUCACUCCAUCUCUUUAUUCCUAUUUUAUCCUUCAGUAAAACUUUAUUUUUAGGAUUAAAAUUUUAUAAUUUUUAACCACUCCAAUCCUCUGAGCGCAUGCAGCGAUACACAACCUAUUCAUUUUGGGAAUUCUUUCUCCUCUCUUUCUUUCAUUGUUGUGGUGUGAGAGUGUGGUGAGUGAGAGGUUGCAUGUGGUUGAAGGAAUUGCUGUAGCAGUGGCAAAAUUCAGUCUCGAGAUUGCUUGAAGGUGGUGGUGGACUCCAUCAACGCUUUGGAAAACUUACUGAAAGCACUGUGAAAAAGCGGCAAGGACCAAUUGUGAUAAAGAAACUCCGUGCAUCUAAGUUAACGGAUGUCAUUGGAGAAAAUAACAUAUUUCCAACAGUGGCUGAUGUUGUUUCAAGUGCAAAUGGUGAAGGAGUAUUAUGAAGAAAUUAAAUAACUAUAGCUUCAAUUCAACCGUUGAAAUC
rnacentral:sRNA from 1 species